rnacentral:rRNA from 1 species
UACGUAGGUGGCAAGCGUUGUCCGGAUUUAUUGGGUUUAAAGGGUGCGUAGGUGGCCCUGUAAGUCAGUGGUGAAAUAUCUCAGCUUAACUGAGAGGGUGCCAUUGAUACUGCAGGGCUUGAGUACAGAUGAGGUAGGCGGAAUUGACGGUGUAGCGGUGAAAUGCAUAGAUAUCGUCAAGAACACCGAUAGCCAAGGCCGCUUACCAAGCUGUAACUGACACUGAGGCACGAAAGUGUGGGGAUCAAACAGG